GCCCGGUCCCAUUCCGAACCCGGAAGCUAAGACCCACAGCGCCGAUGGUACUGCACUCGCGAGGGUGUGGGAGAGUAGGACACCGCCGGAC
rnacentral:rRNA from 1 species